AGUCUUUAACUUUCAAAUGAGUAAUAAAAAUAUUAAUUGCAGUAGCAAGUUUACCAUAGGGUCAGAAGCAUAUCAAGAAAAGCAAAUACUUCAAUUACAAUCAAAUAAUCAGCCUUUAUUAGCUUAUUUAGACAAAAGGUAAUAGAAAAAGAAAGCCCCUAUUUUGGUGUACAAAUCAAAUGCCAAACAUCAAAUUUCCUUUUUUAUUCACUGGAUACUUCAACUCAAGAGAUAAAUCAUGAAAUCCAUGAUAAAACUAUAAUCAUGGAAAGCUAGAAAGUCCGGACCACAAAGGUUUAUUGUACGCAAUAUUACUCUGUAUUUUUGCAAGAGUUUGUUUCUAUCGCUCGAACCCGUUUACUCCCGGUUACAUGACACCAACUUUACUGGUCACUCCAACGCAGCAACUUUACCAAUCACAUUAGAACAAAUUAAUUCUGUAACCCCCCACACACACCCACCACCACCAUCUUAACACAAACAAAAAACUCCAUACCAAAUAAAAGAGAAAAAAUUAAAAGAUGGUAUUACAAUCCUUGAAAAUUCAGAGGAUGUAUUUAUUUUUGUGAUUUUUGUUCAAGAGGGAGAAAGAAAGAGCCUGAUGUCUUUUGCUGAUCGAUGAAAC
rnacentral:lncRNA from 1 species